rnacentral:lncRNA from 1 species
CUAUUUCGAUGGAGGAGUUUGAUAUCUUUAAUCGCUCUGACCUGCAUUAAUACUUCUAUCUUGCAACGAUCCACGAUCUGAAGGUUAUGGAGUUGUAUUUGAUUGGGAUAAAACUGUUUUCUUCAGGUCUUCAAACAUAUCAAACAUUUCAUUAUAUUUCCUUUUUAAAAUUUGAUUAUCCUGUAAAACAUUUAAGAUUCAUUUAUAUUUAUGUAUUACUUUAAAAUUUUAUUAACUUUCAUACACAUACCUUUAUUAACUUCUCCAUUUGAUCGUUCAUUUUUUCUUUUCCUUUUUCUUUUUCUUCUUCUUUCUCGAUAGAUCUUGUACUCAUUUCAAUUGAAAAUCUAGUAGAAGCAGUGCUCGCGACUCAGCAAAUGAUCCUCCACCAAGUCUAAUGUGCCUCCCUUUUUUGCUUUGAAUAAAUUUUGAAAUGCAUUUUUGUUGAAUCACCUAAAUGCGAAAAAUAAUAUAUAAGAAAAUAAAACAUUUGAAUAAUUUGAAAUAGUAAAAUAAUUUAAAACAUACAUCUUCAUCCGUUGUUGGACGUAAUUCUUGAAUUUUAUCACUUUUGUAAUAUUCAGACAAAUUUCUCUAUAAAAUAAGUAAUAAACUAUGAGUAGAUCAAUAAACUACUAUUUAUGAACAUUAUAAAAUAAACUAAGACUUACAACGACUUCGUUGUCAGUACCAGAAGAACGAAUCAAUACAUUGAUUCGUGAUGCCUCAAUGCCUUCGCGUUGCAGAUUUUCUCUUAUUGCACUGAAAGGAAUUGACCAUGUUUUAUGGUUUAGUAUCUUCUUACUCCGGUUUGUUUUGUUGAUAACAAUGGAUAGUGUAUAUUGACGAAGUUGACAAGAUAACAAAAAAGGUUUUGUAAAUUCAGAAUAUAUUUUUUUGAUGUAAAAACUAUAUUGAUUUCUAUCUUCCAUAUAUUCAACAUGGAGGCUGAGAGUCAAAAUGUUAGCAGAGAUGUAUCUGGUGAAGGGGUUCAACAAGCUCUACUGAAGAUCCUUGAAGGAACUAUAAAUCAAUGGUUUAUCUCAAUUUUUUUCUAUUAUCUAAUUGAAAGCUGUCUGUCCACCAAAUUGGCUGAAUUUCUUCUAGUAUUUAUGUAUCAGUGUUCAGUAAAUAGUUUUUACUUACUGAACUGGUAAUUAGAGAGUUUUUCAUUCGAGGUGAUUACCUAUAUAUGGUUCCUUGUCUUAUUGAUUUAUAUUUUGACAGACUAAUAAUAGGUUGAACCAUAAUACUGAUUUUCAUAUUUCGAAUGAAGGAAUAACGUCUCUUCAUUUUCUGAACAAGGGCUAUGACGAGCAUCAUCAACGGAACGGUUAGUUCGAUAAAUAUAGACAAUAUAUAUCAUUAUCAUAUGCAUUAGCAUGACUGAUUUCCCCCACGUCAUUGACAUAUCCAAUCAUGUGCUGAAGAACUGGAUACUUCCUCAGCAUCAUCUUACCAGCGAAAUGGGACUCAAUCAGUAAUCCCAUGUUCCUUCUAGGGCAUUGAGCCGUGAGCCGUACACGGCCUAACUCAUCCAUCUUAUUCCUAAUUACCCCUUCUUUAUUCGAACUGUAAAUUUCAAACAGGAGGUCAAUCAUGCAAACGAAGACCCUGACGUUGGUGUAUUUAGUGGUAUGACACAUCUACUCUAAGAUUAAUAUUUUACAAAUGGCGUUAACUUACCGACAAUAUUUUUAAACAACAUCUAAUGGGAUUAGUGAUCUUCCGAAAGACCAACAACCACAGAACAUGAGCCUCGGCGCUACUAUGUACGAAUUAGUCCAUUAACUUUUCACAUUAACCAACGCAUGCCGCAAAGGUGAAUAACAAUUAACGAUUUACAUAUUUCAUGAAACAGUAAUGCUACUAAUGAAGACGUUGAUAAUCAUGAUUCGAAUGACGAAACGGCUAAAGUAGGGUGUGUCAACAGUCUACUGCAAGAAGGGUGUGUCAACGGCUAAAGUACCUAAUGUCCUCAAACCACUUGAGAAAAGCACCAAACCACGACACAUAAGAAAUCCCAGAACAGGUUGUAGGGCUAUACUAUGUCUGAAGAAAGAGGAUGAAAAAUGGGUAAUCUGCAUAUAUAGUAACAACCAUAAUCAUGACAUGGCGACAUCGUCGAAGAAACGAUUCUUAAAGGUCAAUAGAAAAAUAACACCUUACGCAAGAAAUUUAAUACAUGCUCUAGAUGCAACAAACAUUCUACCGAGUCAGCAGUACUCGUACGUUGCAAACCGAUUAGGUGGGCUUCCUAACUGUUCCUUCACUAAAACUGAUUUCUUCAACUUACCGAAGACUGCCAAGCAAAACAUACAUAGCCACGAUGUCGACAUUCUCAUGAGGAAACUUGAAUUUCUAAAGAAAGAAGAUGAUUACUACUAUUAUUCAUACGCCUUGGACGACGAAAGUACAACAUUCAACUUUCACAUUUACAAUACACCUCUCCCGUUCUUCACUAACAUAUUUACAAUGACCAAUUGAUUACCAGGUGCUUUAAAACAACUGUUCUGGGCAGACUCAAAGUCAAUUAAUCAAUGUAAGACCUAUGGAGAGGUCGUAACAUUCGAUACUACGUACAAUACUAACAAGUACAAACUCAUAAUUGGUAUUUUCUGCGACGUCAAUAACCAUGGUUUUCUAUGUGUCAUUUAUGCGUCGCAUAAACGACCAUGCGAUUUUCCAAACCCCCGCAUAGAUGUUCUAUGCGUUUGGCGGGUCUGGGUCGGGUCCCCAGGUAGGGUCAUUGGGUUUUACCCGAAUUUAAAAAAAACCUAAAACCCCCCGCAUAAAACAGUCCAGACCUUAAAAAAACGUGAGUAGAGAGGCAGACGCAAGGUCCUGACGCGAGCACAUACCUGACGCGAACGCGAGCAGCCGAGCAUUCCUCUCCUGACGUUGCUGGAAAAAAAACGAUAAGAAAAAUUAUUUGAAUUCUUACCGUUCACUCUCCUCCUCCUCUACUCGUGUUGCGUUUGCGUUUAUUUAGAACGCGUGUCGCAUUUUGCGUUUAUUGUAAAUAUUUAAAACGCAACCACUAUGUGACAUGUGAAUUUUUUUCCUCGGUGG